UACGUAGGGUGCAAGCGUUAAUCGGAAUGGCUGGGCGUAAAGGGUGCGCAGGCGGUUUGUUAAGACGGAUGUGAAAGCCCCGGGCUCAACCUGGGAAUAGCAUACGUGACUGGCAAACUAGAAUAUGGCAGAGGGAGGUGGAAUUCCAUGUGUAGCAGUGAAAUGCGUAGAGAUGUGGAGGAACACCGAUGGCGAAGGCAGCCCCCUGGGCUGAGAUUGACGCUCAGGCACGAAAGCGUGGGGAGCAAACAGG
rnacentral:rRNA from 1 species